rnacentral:rRNA from 1 species
AUUGAACGCUGGCGGCCGGCCUAACACAUGCAAGUCGAGCGGAGCGGCGGACGGGUGAGUAAUUCCUAGGAAUCUGCCUUGUAGUGGGGGAUAACGUCCGGCAACGGGCGCUAAUACCGCAUACUAUCAGAUGAGCCUAGGUCGGAUUAGCUAGUUGGUGGGGUAAAGGCCUACCAAGGCGACGAUCCGUAACUGGUCUGAGAGGAUGAUCAGUCACACUGGAACUGGGACACGGGCCAGACUCCUACGUGAGGCGGCAGUGGGGAAUAGUGGACAAUGGGCGAAAGCCUGAUCCAGCCAUGCCGCGUGUGUGAAGAAGGUCUUCGGAUUGUAGAGCACUUUAAGUUGGGAGGCGUUACCAACAGAAUAAGCACCGGCUAACUUCGUGCCAGCAGCCGCGGUAAUUC